rnacentral:rRNA from 1 species
GUUUGAUCCUGGCUCAGGAUGAACGCUAGCGGCAGGCUUAACACAUGCAAGUCGAGGGGUAUUGGUUUUCGGACCAAGAGACCGGCGCACGGGUGCGUAACGCGUAUGCAAUCUACCUUUCACAGAGGGAUAGCCCAGAGAAAUUUGGAUUAAUACCUCAUAGUAUAGCAGUUUCGCAUGAAACCACUAUUAAAGUCACAACGGUGAAAGAUGAGCAUGCGUCCCAUUAGCUAGUUGGUAAGGUAACGGCUUACCAAGGCAACGAUGGGUAGGGGUCCUGAGAGGGAGAUCCCCCACACUGGUACUGAGACACGGACCAGACUCCUACGGGAGGCAGCAGUGAGGAAUAUUGGACAAUGGGCGCAAGCCUGAUCCAGCCAUGCCGCGUGCAGGAUGACGGUCCUAUGGAUUGUAAACUGCUUUUAUACAGGAAGAAACACUACUUCGUGAAGUAGCUUGACGGUACUGUAAGAAUAAGGAUCGGCUAACUCCGUG